GCGGACAUUCACAGACAGGACAGCCACAACAGCAAUCACAACUUCCGUCAUGGUCGUCAAACGUCAGUCCUGGGGCACGUGCGUAGGCUUCUCAGCGUCCAGGAUCCCCCAGAGCUCGUCCCUCCUCGGCCCUCCUUCAAACGUCACAGCAGUGAGGCCUUCUUCCCCUUCAGACCUGACUCCCAUGACUACCCUGGAUCAGACGACCAGGCCUCCCCAGGACCUGAUCACUCUCUGUUCCCCAGACCCAACCUCUUUAACUCCCAUAACCCCCUCUCGACCAACCACCCUCUGGAUACGCUACGGGAGGUUAGCAGUACUCUUUCUUCCCUGGACACUGAGCCCCGUACGCCGUCCUUCACAGACCUGCCUCAGUGGGUGGUAAGUCCACCUGCUUCUUCUGAUGAUCAUGGGGAUAGUGGUUAUGGGGGUGAUGGAGGGACUUGUGGGGCGUUAUCUGGGGCUCCACAACCCCUGAAUCAUAUAGAGGCCUUCUCCCAACAGACAGGGCAUGAGCAGGCCUCAAGUAAGCCUGGGACUCCAGUAGAUCUGUCCCCCAAUGUGGAGGCUCCAGCCCUGAACACGAAUCAGGGCAACAGCUGUACCCAACCGAGGCCCAAGAAGUUGAGCUGGAACGUCCCCAAAGACUGGUGUAAGCCACAGAGACGUCAGCUGUCCUUCCAGUUCUCCAGACAGGGGUCAAAGAGCUCCCUGCACAGCCUGCCUAGUCCUCAAGGCCUAGGGAGGAGGAGAGGCCGAAACACUUCCACAGCCCUCCACUUUCCUGCUGAGCCUGCCCAGUUCCAAGCACUGCAAGUCCCCGAGACAGACAUUCUGGAGUCCAAUGGUCAUGAGAGUGACAAGAAGGACACCAAUGACAGCCAAGAGAACAAGGACAAGUCACAAUCGGAGAAGUCCUAAUGUUCUUCUGACAUACAGUACAUAUCAACCUGCUGUGCCCUAGUAUGAGUCACUUCACAGGAUCUCUAAGGGUGUACCCAGCAUUAUUAUAAUGUACACCCUAAUAAACAUCAAAUGUUUGUUUUAUAAUAAAAUAUAAUUUAUUCAGUCA
ensembl:lncRNA